UUUUUCUCACCUAGACUACUACUAGAAAAACAGAAAAAACACCAAACACUACAAAGUCUCAUCUUUUAUAGGGAACUAAUGUACGUAAAUAUCCUGCUGUUAGCUCUCACUCUAGUACAUAGUUCAAUCUUCACCUUGAGAAUUAAAUCUUCAAUAGAUGUAGCCUUCUGCUGAAAGGUUCGGGCAUUUCUUUCAAUCCAAAUAACAUACACCAUUACUGUUAGACUGGCUUUUAAAAUCAUUCCUCUUGAGUGCUUUUCAUUACUCUGCUGACUCAUUCAUUGACGUAUUGAGUCUCAGUCAUUUAGAUCAUCAUUGCUCAUUUUUCGCCACUUCAGUUUAGUGAACCAUAUCCUGCUAUUAUAUUGCAUUCAAAGAAUCAG
rnacentral:lncRNA from 1 species